rnacentral:rRNA from 1 species
UGGCGGCGUGCUUAACACAUGCAAGUCGAACGAUGAACCACUUCGGUGGGGAUUAGUGGCGAACGGGUGAGUAACACGUGGGCAAUCUGCCCUGCACUCUGGGACAAGCCCUGGAAACGGGGUCUAAUACCGGAUACUGAUCCUCACAGGCAUCUGUGGGGUUCGAAAGCUCCGGCGGUGCAGGAUGAGCCCGCGGCCUAUCAGCUUGUUGGUGAGGUAAUGGCUCACCAAGGCGACGACGGGUAGCCGGCCUGAGAGGGCGACCGGCCACACUGGGACUGAGACACGGCCCAGACUCCUACGGGAGGCAGCAGUGGGGAAUAUUGCACAAUGGGCGAAAGCCUGAUGCAGCGACGCCGCGUGAGGGAUGACGGCCUUCGGGUUGUAAACCUCUUUCAGCAGGGAAGAAGCGAAAGUGACGGUACCUGCAGAAGAAGCGCCGGCUAACUACGUGCCAGCAGCCGCGGUAAUACGUAGGGCGCGAGCGUUGUCCGGAAUUAUUGGGCGUAAAGAGCUCGUAGGCGGCUUGUCGCGUCGGUUGUGAAAGCCCGGGGCUUAACCCCGGGUCUGCAGUCGAUACGGGCAGGCUAGAGUUCGGUAGGGGAGAUCGGAAUUCCUGGUGUAGCGGUGAAAUGCGCAGAUAUCAGGAGGAACACCGGUGGCGAAGGCGGAUCUCUGGGCCGAUACUGACGCUGAGGAGCGAAAGCGUGGGGAGCGAACAGGAUUAGAUACCCUGGUAGUCCACGCCGUAAACGGUGGGCACUAGGUGUGGGCAACAUUCCACGUUGUCCGUGCCGCAGCUAACGCAUUAAGUGCCCCGCCUGGGGAGUACGGCCGCAAGGCUAAAACUCAAAGGAAUUGAC